GAUGAACGCUGGCGGCGUGCUUAACACAUGCAAGUCGAACGAAGCACUUUAUUUGAUUUCCUUCGGGACUGAUUAUUUUGUGACUGAGUGGCGGACGGGUGAGUAACGCGUGGGUAACCUGCCUUGUACAGGGGGAUAACAGUUGGAAACGGCUGCUAAUACCGCAUAAGCGCACAGCAUCGCAUGAUGCAGUGUGAAAAACUCCGGUGGUAUAAGAUGGACCCGCGUUGGAUUAGCUAGUGGGUGAGGUAACGGCCCACCAAGGCGACGAUCCAUAGCCGACCAGAGAGGGUGACCGGCCACAUUGGGACUGAGACACGGCCCAAACUCCUACGGGAGGCAGCAGUGGGGAAUAUUGCACAAUGGGCGAAAGCCUGAUGCAGCGACGCCGCGUGAGCGAAGAAGUAUUUCGGUAUGUAAAGCUCUAUCAGCAGGGAAGAUAAUGACGGUACCUGACUAAGAAGCACCGGCUAAAUACGUG
rnacentral:rRNA from 1 species